UACGUAGGGCGCAAGCGUUGUCCGGAAUUAUUGGGCGUAAAGAGCUCGUAGGCGGCCUGUUGCGUCCGCUGUGAAAUCCCGGGGCUUAACCCCGGGCUUGCAGUGGAUACGGGCAGGCUGGAGGCAGGCAGGGGAGAACGGAAUUCCCGGUGUAGCGGUGAAAUGCGCAGAUAUCGGGAGGAACACCGGUGGCGAAGGCAAUCCCCUGGGCCUGCACUGACGCUCAUGCACGAAAGCGUGGGGAGCAAACAGG
rnacentral:rRNA from 1 species